CGGAAUUAUUGGGCGUAAAGCGCGCGCAGGUGGUUUCUUAAGUCUGAUGUGAAAGCCCACGGCUCAACCGUGGAGGGUCAUUGGAAACUGGGAGACUUGAGUGCAGAAGAGGAAAGUGGAAUUCCAUGUGUAGCGGUGAAAUGCGUAGAGAUAUGGAGGAACACCAGUGGCGAAGGCGACUUUCUGGUCUGUAACUGACACUGAGGCGCGAAAGCGUGGGGAGCAAACAGGAUUAGAUACCCUGGUAGUCCACGCCGUAAACGAUGAGUGCUAAGUGUUAGAGGGUUUCCGCCCUUUAGUGCUGAAGUUAACGCAUUAAGCACUCCGCCUGGGGAGUACGGCCGCAAGGCUGAAACUCAAAGGAAUUGACGGGGGCCCGCACAAGCGGUGGAGCAUGUGGUUUAAUU
rnacentral:rRNA from 1 species